GACGGAGGAUGCAAGUGUUAUCCGGAAUUACUGGGCGUAAAGAGCUCGUAGGCGGUUUGUCGCGUCGUCUGUGAAAACUCGAGGCUCAACCUCGAGCUUGCAGGCGAUACGGGCAGACUUGAGUACUGCAGGGGAGACUGGAAUUCCUGGUGUAGCGGUGAAAUGCGCAGAUAUCAGGAGGAACACCGGUGGCGAAGGCGGGUCUCUGGGCCGAUACUGACGCUGAGGAGCGAAAGCGUGGGGAGCGAACAGG
rnacentral:rRNA from 1 species